rnacentral:rRNA from 1 species
UACGUAGGGACCAAGCGUUGUCCGGAAUCAUUGGGCGUAAAGAGCGUGUAGGCGGCUUGUUAAGUCUUGCGUGAAAUCUCGGGGCUCAACCCCGAGCGGUCGUGAGAAACUGGCAGGCUAGAGUGCGGGAGAGGAGAGUGGAAUUCCUGGUGUAGCGGUGAAAUGCGCAGAUAUCAGGAGGAACACCGGUGGCGAAGGCGGCUCUCUGGAACGCAACUGACGCUGAGACGCGAAAGCGUGGGGAGCAAACAGG